UUACAGCUGUUCUUCUUUGAUGCAUCAAAAAGUUCGGUUAUCAGAAGCACCUAUUUCCGGGGGGGGGGGUUCCAUUUGGGUCGUUCUAUGUCUGAAGAUUAAUUCUAGGGUGCGGGGAAAUAGGUGCUUCUGAAAACCGAUCUUUUUGAUGCAUCAAAGAAGACCAGCUGUAAAUCG
rnacentral:pre_miRNA from 1 species